CUUCGGGUGUCAGUGGCAGACGGGUGAGUAACACGUGGGAACGUACCCUUCGGUUCGGAAUAACUCAGGGAAACUUGAGCUAAUACCGGAUACGCCCUUUUGGGGAAAGGUUUACUGCCGAAGGAUCGGCCCGCGUCUGAUUAGCUUGUUGGUGGGGUAACGGCCUACCAAGGCGACGAUCAGUAGCUGGUCUGAGAGGAUGAUCAGCCACACUGGGACUGAGACACGGCCCAGACUCCUACGGGAGGCAGCAGUGGGGAAUAUUGGACAAUGGGCGCAAGCCUGAUCCAGCCAUGCCGCGUGAGUGAUGAAGGCCUUAGGGUUGUAAAGCUCUUUUGUCCGGGACGAUAAUGACGGUACCGGAAGAAUAAGCCCCGGCUAACUUCGUGCCAGCAGCCGCGGUAAUACGAAGGGGGCUAGCGUUGCUCGGAAUCACUAGGCGUAAAGGGCGCGUAGGCGGCCGAUUAAGUCGGGGGUGAAAGCCUGUGGCUCAACCACAGAAUUGCCUUCGAUACUGGUUGGCUUGAGACCGGAAGAGGACAGCGGAACUGCGAGUGUAGAGGUGAAAUUCGUAGAUAUUCGCAAGAACACCAGUGGCGAAGGCGGCUGUCUGGUCCGGUUCUGACGCUGAGGCGCGAAAGCGUG
rnacentral:rRNA from 1 species